rnacentral:precursor_RNA from 15 species
AGUGCUAGUUUUUGCCAGGGUGUGAAGAAUUGAUCAAGUAGCGCCGCUUGGUCUUUGAAUUGAUUGAUCAGCGUCGUUGCUUGAUCCAUUCUCUGCAUCCACAAUCACCAAGCCAACAA